rnacentral:rRNA from 1 species
UAAACGUCUCAGUUCGGAUUGUAGUCUGCAACUCGACUACAUGAAGCUGGAAUCGCUAGUAAUCGCGAAUCAGCAUGUCGCGGUGAAUACGUUCCCGGGUCUUGUACACACCGCCCGUCACACCAUGGGAGUCGGAAAUGCCCGAAGUCAGUGACCCAACCGCAAGGAGGGAGCUGCCGAAGGCAGGUCCCGGUAACUGGGGUGAAGUCGUAACAAGGUAAC